AACCAUUCUCACCUGCGGCUAGACCUGCGGAGGGAUCAUUACUGAGUGAGGGCUCACGCCCGACCUCCAACCCUUUGUGAACCAAACUUGUUGCUUCGGGGGCGACCCUGCCGACGACUCCGUCGCCGGGCGCCCCCGGAGGUCUUCUAAACACUGCAUCUUUGCGUCGGAGUUUAAACAAAUUAAACAAAACUUUUAACAAUGGAUCU
rnacentral:misc_RNA from 1 species